GACGAACGCUGGCGGCGUGCUUAACACAUGCAAGUCGAACGGAAAGGCCCUGCUUUUGUGGGGUGCUCGAGUGGCGAACGGGUGAGUAACACGUGAGUAACCUGCCCUUGACUUUGGGAUAACUUCAGGAAACUGGGGCUAAUACCGGAAAGGAGCCCCUCCGGCAUGGGGGGGGUUGGAAAGUUUCGGCGGUUGGGGAUGGACUCGCGGCUUAUCAGCUUGUUGGUGGGGUAGUGGCUUACCAAGGCUUUGACGGGUAGCCGGCCUGAGAGGGUGACCGGCCACAUUGGGACUGAGAUACGGCCCAGACUCCUACGGGAGGCAGCAGUGGGGAAUAUUGCACAAUGGGCGGAAGCCUGAUGCAGCAACGCCGCGUGCGGGAUGACGGCCUUCGGGUUGUAAACCGCUUUCGCCUGUGACGAAGCGUGAGUGACGGUAAUGGGUAAAGAAGCACCGGCUAACUACGUG
rnacentral:rRNA from 1 species